rnacentral:tRNA from 1 species
GACAGCGUGGCUCAGUGGAAAGAGCACGGACUUGGGAGACAGAGAUCAUGGGUUCGAAUCCCGGCUCUGCCA